rnacentral:rRNA from 1 species
GACGGAGGAUGCAAGUGUUAUCCGGAAUCACUGGGCGUAGAGCGUCUGUAGGUGGUUCAAUAAGUCAACUGUUAAAUCUUGAGGCUCAACUUCAAAAUCGCAGUCGAAACUAUUGGACUCGAGUAUAGUAGGGGUAAAGGGAAUUUCCGGUGGAGCGGUGAAAUGCGUAGAGAUCGGAAAGAACACCAACGGCGAAAGCACUCUGCUGGGCCGACACUGACACUGAGAGACGAAAGCUAGGGGAGCGAAUGGG